UUUUCACCUGUUUAACUGUGUUACAGGGAGCGGUGCAGGGCCACUCUUCCUCUAUGGGUCGCUGGCGGCAGCUUCAUUUCUUCUGAUUACUCUGUUAAUUACACUGGUAAUAUGCUAUCGAAGACAGAAUAAACCAGAUGCGUAUUUGGCAAAUGAACCAUCGAUGUAUUCCGAGAUUCGCGUUACAGGGAGGGCGCCAGACAAACAAAUAGCAGGGCAACGUGAAAACACCGGUUCUGGAGGAAUGCAUGCCAGACCAAAGAUAAGAGCAGCGGU